CGGUGGAACUUUUCGAAGCACUGGCAAGAAGUCGCAACACGUCGCUCACUCCAAGAGUUGCAUUCAGCAAGCUAAGCGUUUCCAAAUUAUGCUGACAACUAUGUGAACGAAUAUUUGUUUUAAAUUACUGAGAAUCGAUAAAUUUUUAUCAAAUAAUUUUGGCGUAAAAAAUUUCAAGAAACUUGCUAAUUAAUCAAUUACCCUAAAAAGUUAGCAAGGGCAUAUAACAGUUUGCCCCUGUUCCCCCAUUUACAAAUGAAUAUCCAAUCGGUGAGUAUCAGCUUCCUUAAUUGAACAUUCUUGGCUCGUACGAUCGUAAGGAAGUCAGCGCCUGCCUCGGCUUGAAUGUUACGAGUUAUGCGAGCUUCUCUUGGCAAGAGAUACGGUCGUGACCAGGCGAGUUCCAGGCUUCGUAUAUGCUGUCCAUAUUUUGCCUAAAUGAAACGAGUUUAUCGAGUUUCGAGUAUUAUACGUAUCAUAUGUACAAUAAUAAUAGAAAAUUUCUUAAGCAUAUGUUAUAUAUAUAAACGCUUGAUUUUAUUUACUAAGAUUAAAAAAAAAAAAAAAAUGUAUGAUAUUCGAUAUUCCAUUGG